rnacentral:rRNA from 1 species
UAGUGUAAUUUAUAGCCUAUUAAUUGUAGGCCAAUGAAUGGAUUGACGGGCUGAUAUUGUCUCAGUUAUGUGUUGUAGAAGUUAACUUUUAGGUGAAGAGGCCUAAAUGUGUUGAAGGGACGAAAAGACCCUGUUAAACUUUAAUCGUUUUACAUUAUAUUAAUGUGUUUAAAUUGUUAGUGAUUUUAGUUGGGGCAACUGGGAAGAAUAAAAACUUUUUAUAACUUGUUAAUAAGAUGUGUUGAUGAUUUGAUCCAGACUUACUAUUCUGAAUAUAGAAUAAGUUACUGGAG